GGGGCGGUAGCUCAACGGAUAGAGCACCUGGAUUCGUAGCCGGUUGUUGGGAGUUCGAGCCUCCCCCGCCCCG
rnacentral:tRNA from 1 species